rnacentral:rRNA from 1 species
UGGGGAAUCUUGCACAAUGGGGGCAACCCCGAUGCAGCGACGCCGCGUGAGCGGUGAAGCCCUUCGGGGCGUAAAGCUCUUUCGACCGGAACGAUAAUGACGGUACCGGGAGAAGAAGCUGCGGCUAACUACGUGCCAGCAGCCGCGGUAAUACGUAGGCAGCAAGCGUUGUUCGGAGUUGCUGGGCGUAAAGAGUGCGUAGGCGGUUUUCUAAGUUCGGUGUGAAAUCUCCCGGCUUAACUGGGAGGGUGCGCCGAAGACUGGGAAGCUGGAGUGUGGGAAAGGCAGGCGGAAUUCCUGGUGUAGCGGUGAAAUGCGUAGAUAUCAGGAGGAACACCGGCGGUGUAGACGGCUUGCUAGACCAUAACUGACGCUGAGGCACGAAAGCGUGGGUAGCAAACA